rnacentral:piRNA from 1 species
UGAGACUUAAUCUUGUGAGAAUUGAAUUCC